rnacentral:rRNA from 1 species
AGUGAACGCUGGCGGUAGGCCUAACACAUGCAAGUCGAACGGCAGCACCGUAAGAGCUUGCUCUUACGGGUGGCGAGUGGCGGACGGGUGAGGAAUACAUCGGAAUCUACUUUUUCGUGGGGGAUAACGUAGGGAAACUUACGCUAAUACCGCAUACGACCUACGGGUGAAAGCAGGGGAUCUUCGGACCUUGCGCGAUUGAAUGAGCCGAUGUCGGAUUAGCUAGUUGGCGGGGUAAAGGCCCACCAAGGCGACGAUCCGUAGCUGGUCUGAGAGGAUGGUCAGCCACACUGGAACUGAGACAGGGUCCAGACGCCUGAGGGAGGCAGCAGUGGGGAAUAUUGGACAAUGGGGGCAAGCCUGAUCCAGCCAGACCGCGUGGGUGAAGAAGGCCUUCGGGUUGUAAAGCCCUUUUGUUGGGAAAGGAAAGCAGCAGGUUAAUACCCCGCUGUUCUGACGGUACCCAAAGAAUAAGCACCGGCUAACUUCGUG